rnacentral:lncRNA from 1 species
UCGGACACGACUGAAGCCACUUAGCAGCCGCAGUAGCAACAGUGGGUAUGAAGUUGUAUCUGAUUGUGAUUUUGAUUUGCAUUUUCCUGGUGGCUCAGACUAACAUUUAUUGUGAAUCUCCCAACUGUGUCUAUUGUUUUUUCCCCCUCAGGAAAUUCCCUUUUUGUUUUGUCUGGAGGAUAUGUGUCCAGCUAUGGCUCCUGGAUCUAAGGGGAGGAAGUAAGUUGAUCCUGGGAGGCUCAGCCCAGGAGCCAGGUCCUGGCCGGCCAGUUGUCCCUUUCCUAGGUGCAACCGAAAGUUAAACUAGCUUUGCUAACUGAGCUUCGGCUGGGCGGGCGGUAGCUACAGGUGAGUUCUUAAAGGGGCCGCCAGAGCUUGAGUAAUACUUGAAGCUGUUGACUUGGAGGGAGUUGCAGGCAAGGGAGAAUGAAUGAGAAAACGAACGAACCAAUUUUCUAUUUCCUUCCUUAAAUGCAUUCAUACUUGGAAUUAAUCACUUAGAUUUAAAAAAUUCUCUGGUAAAACCUUCAAUCUCUUAUCAGAUUAACUAAUCUCCAUGUUUUACCUACCCUUCUUUAAUUCAGUUCCUCCGAAACUUUUACUGAGGGGCUAAUACUAACUUUUAAAAAAUUAGCACCGAGUGUAAGAACGCAAAGACGGCACCCCUCCCCCUCGCAAAUGCUUCCCUUUUCCCCCUCCCAGGCUCCGCCCUUUCCCGCCCCCUAUCGUGGGUGGCGCAGUCGACACCUCCCAGAGAAUGCUUUUCCAGGUUGGGGAUCCACCCCUGGGGUGGAUCUCUCUCCGGCAGAGUUGGAAACGAUACGCGUUUAGUGAGGUUAAAGGGUGUCUCGGAAUGUGUGUCCUGAAUCUGGUGUAGGUGAGGUCACAUUUCUCUUCCAUCACUGUCACUCUUCCUCGCCUGGUGCUCUACUCGCUCAGAGCCGCGGGACACACCGGUGGGCUAGGACGAGGUAAAGGCGGGCUCUUCCAGGGCGCCCUGACCCACCUGUAGAGUCUGUGCGUGAACUCCUUUGUUCUCAGAACC